rnacentral:lncRNA from 1 species
CCAGCCUUGGGAUUCCCAGGUGUUUCCAUUCAGUGAUCAGGACUGAACACACAGGAAUCACCAUGGAGUUUGUGCUGAGCUGGGUUUUCCUUGUUGCUAUAUUAAAAGGUGCCCAGUGUGAGGUGCAGCUGGUGGAGUCUGGGGGAGGCUUGGUACAGCCUGGGGGGUCCCUGAGACUGUCCUGUCCAGCCUCUGGAUUCACCUUCAGUAACCACUACAUGAGCUGGGUCCGCC